AGCGGUGUUGAAGGCUUGCCUUCACAGCCGGCGACCGGCGCACGGGUGAGUAACACGUAUGCAACCUGGCCGUCGUUUUACAAUAACCGGUAGAAAUGCCGCCUAAUACUCCAUAAUACCGUAAAGGGACAUCCCUUUGUGGUCAAAGGAAUUCAUUCCGGUGACGGAUGGGCAUGCGGCGCAUUAGCUAGUCGGCGGGGUAACGGCCCACCGAGGCGACGAUGCGUAGGGGUUCUGAGAGGAAGGUCCCCCACAUUGGAACUGAGACACGGUCCAAACUCCUACGGGAGGCAGCAGUGAGGAAUAUUGGUCAAUGGGCGGAAGCCUGAACCAGCCAAGUCGCGUGAGGGAUUAAGGCCCUAUGGGUCGUAAACCUCUUUUGUCAGGGAGCAAGGUCGUCCACGUGUGGGCGUAUGGAGAGUACCUGAAGAAAAAGCAUCGGCUAACUCCGUGCCAGCAGCCGCGGUAAUACGGAGGAUGCGAGCGUUAUCCGGAUUUAUUGGGUUUAAAGGGUGCGUAGGCGGGACCUUAAGUCAGCGGUAAAAUUGCGGUGCUCAACGCCGUAAAGCCGUUGAAACUGGGGUUCUUGAGUGAGCGAGAAGUAUGCGGAAUGCGUGGUGUAGCGGUGAAAUGCAUAGAUAUCACGCAGAACCCCGAUUGC
rnacentral:rRNA from 1 species